AGCACUUAAUGCUGCAAACAAAUUGAUCAAAUAGGAGUGACCUAUAGACAUGGAGGUAGAAUUACUAUUAUACCUCCAUGUCUAUAGGUCAGUAUCUGAGAUCGUAUCGUAAAUAUGCGGAUAAUUUACUGUGGUCAAGUUCAUCAUUGCAGCAUUGUAUUUGAAGUUCUUUGCACUGCUUCGAGCUUGUAGGCAUAAGCUUAGUGUCACGCUAUCUUAUCUAAUACGAAAAAUGGCGCAGAUAUUUCGCAGGGUGAAUGUCUUGUGCGCUACUACUACGUGUGAAUUUGUGCCAAAAUAUGAACAUUCGGUGGUUGUUACGCUAGACUAUGAUCCCCAGGGCCUCAGCGCAAAAAUUCGGAAAGAUGAGAGUACUUACGACAGCAUUGGUGAAUAUCCCAUUUCGAGGGCAACUGAAUGUGCUAGAGUGGGACCACAAGGUUAUGUAUUCACUUUUGAUACAGAGAGCCUCCUAUUCAGAUUUCAGAGUGUAGCAGAUGCUAGAGCAUUUCAUGAAGCUGUAAGCAAAGUAAAACUUGGAAAGGAUUCGUCAGUUUUUACAGAUCGCACUGAAGACUCUUCAGCCAUGCAGUAUUUCCAGUUUUAUGGAUAUUUAUCCCAACAACAAAAUAUGAUGCAAGAUUACAUUAGGACAAGCACGUACCAAAGAGCAAUUUUGGCAAAUUUAGAUGAUUUCAAAGAUAAAGUUGUCUUAGAUGUUGGUGCGGGGUCAGGAAUUUUGUCAUUUUUUGCUAUUCAAGCUGGAGCAAGAAAAGUUUAUGCAGUUGAGGCAAGCACAAUGGCACACCAUGCAGAGACCCUGGUGAAUGCAAACAAUUUGAAAGGAAAGAUAGUAGUAAUUGCAGGCAAGGUAGAAGAAAUAUCUCUUACAGAGAAAGUUGAUGUCAUUGUUUCAGAACCAAUGGGUUACAUGUUGUACAACGAAAGAAUGUUAGAAACAUACCUACAUGCUAAAAAGUGGCUUAAGGAUGGAGGUAAAAUGUUCCCAACCAGGGGCGAUCUGCAUAUAGCCCCCUUUACUGAUGAUAACCUUUACAUGGAGCAGUUUAACAAAGCAAAUUUCUGGUAUCAGCAGUGUUUCCAUGGAGUGGACUUAAGCAGUUUAAGGCAUGCUGCAAUGAAAGAGUAUUUCCGGCAACCCAUAGUGGACACAUUUGAUGUCCGUGUUUGUAUGGCAAAGUCUGUCAGGCAUACUGUGGAUUUUCAGCAGGCCAGUGAAACAGAUCUCCAUCGAAUCGAAAUUCCUCUGCAGUUUCACCUGUUGGAAUCUGGAACAGUUCAUGGAUUGGCGUUCUGGUUUGAUGUUGCAUUUAUUGGCAAAAAUUCAACAAUAUGGCUCUCAACAGCUCCAUCAGAGCCUCUCACACAUUGGUACCAGGUUAGAUGUCUCUUGGAGACACCAAUUUUUGUGAAAGCUGGACAGCUGCUUACUGGAAGAGUUUUGCUUUUAGCCAAUCAAAGGCAGAGUUAUGAUGUAACAAUUGAGCUGUGUGUGGAAGGCACAGGUACAAGGUCAUCUAAUACACUGGACUUAAAGAACCCUUAUUUCCGUUACACGGGACAAGCAGCACAACCUCCACCUGGUGUCAAUCAUACCUCUCCAAGUGAAACAUACUGGAGCCAGAUCGAUGCACAGGGAGCACGUCAGGCAGUGAAUAUGGUGAAUGGAAUAGCAGUGAAUGGUUUGGGAGAAGUUGCCACGAUAGAUGCAAGUCAGACAGCACCCAACCUAAUGGGACUGGGCAUUGAAGAAUGUUUGGUGAAGGAUGCUGGAACAAAGAAGGUUAAAUUGAAACACAUACUGCAUAAAUAAUGAAACAGCACAGCUGUGCUGCCCCAUCCCCACCCACAAACAUACACAUUUCCUUCUUAUACCAAUCAGAUCUUUCUUCUCCAUCCUAAUCUUUAUCUCCCCUUCCUUGAACUCUGUCUGGGCUCCUGCCCCAACACUUCUAUACACACACACACACACACACACACACACACACACACACACACACACACACACACACACACACACACUCACUCAAUUACUGUAUAUCCUAUUCUUGACCGUCUCUGAUAACAUUUACUGAUUCUUUUUUUAGCCACGUCACCCUUAUCUUACCUUUACUUGUGCUUAUUACAGUGUUAUGCAUUCCUGUUGUUAAUUGUUAACUCAUCAAUCAUACCUUUUCUGUUUUUUGUUAUGCUUCUUGUAUUUUACCUGCAGCUCCUUGCACAGCAGCUUAAGAAAGUCCUUAGAUGUAUAUUAUGUUUCACCAUCGGGACCAGUCCUUAUCAUGGACUCUGAUGUGAGUGCAAGCCCAGUGUUUUUUCAUCUCUUACGGAGUUACUAAACCCUUGUCCCAACCUAUUACUGUAGGUUGCGAUGGGUGGUUAUUUUUUCAUUUAACUUCCACUAUUGAAGUAGCUCUUUGCUUUUCGAAAAUUUUUCUGAAAUGAAUAUUGGUUUGGCAAAUAAGUCUCUUCAGUUUUUAAUGUGUAAUGAAAUGAUAACUUUCAUGUAAAAAUGUAAUUACAUAAUCUGGUCACAAUAUUGUGACUAUCAGUGAACUGUUACGUGCAGUGUGGAGUGCAGCACAAUAGGAGUUCCAAAAUUAGUCUGAAACCUUUCAGGAGUUAUGGAGGGUCCAUAGUAAAUUUAUUAAAUAUAUGCUCUGAUAGAUAGGCAAUUGAUAAUUUAGGCAAAUUUGGUUGCUAUGAAAUUCUUGGAAAAACUCUCCCAAGCAGUCUCACGUAUUUUAGACUUUCCAUUACCUUUCUAGAAGUCCCCAUACAUCUUUCGAAGGGAGAAAUGUGGUUGUGUAAAACAUAAUUGAAAUUUUAGUAGUUGCCAAAAUGACUGAAAAGCAUCUUACAAAUGGAUACAUUACUCAUAAGAAUCAGAUUGAAACAUUGUCCAGAGAACACUAAUUAUUCCACUCUCAAUCAGAACAACAAAUUUUAUUUCAUCCUACUAUUAAAAUUGAAAUAUUUUUAUCAAUGGAAACGAAAACUAUGGAUGAGAAUGGAGUUUGCGACACCUUCAUAUAAGAUACUGCCAGUUGCCUUGACAUAUCUGACUAGGACAAAGACCAGAGCUUCCGACAGUAACAUGCAUAGUAUUUGUGAAGAAGGUGAUUGAUAUAGUCUUUUGACAGUAGAGUGUUUAUUGUAAUUUGGUAUAGCAAGGAGACAGAAUAUUUUACACAAAUUGUAUAUGUUCUGCAGUACUUUUUUUCUUUCUUUUUGAAACUAGUUUUUGCUUAAGAUACAACUGGGGAAUAACUUGGUACAGUUGUUGAAGAUGUUAGCAAGCUGCUAGAAAACUUUGAGGGAAAUGUUUCAAAUGAAAUGAGUUUGAAAUGAAAAUCAUUUGGACAGUGUAACUGUUGUAGCAGUAAAGUGUACUAAGUGUAAAGAAAUGCAAAGGAGGGUUUCAAAAUGAGAUCCAAAUUGCAUUAUAGGUUCAAAUUUUGUCAAAACUGAAUUGGAAUUUGUUAUAUAGCAUUUAUUCUACUGUCAUAACUAACACAAAACUUAAAACAAUGAUACUAGUUAAAGUAAGCCAAAAGCUUAUUCUCAAAAUAGAUAAAUCUUGUAGACAUACACAGUUGGCUUGAGUCAUUAGUAAGUGUGUGUGUGUGUGUGUGUGGGGGGGGGGGGGGGGGGAGGAGAAUUGGAGAUUCAGGAGGUAUAAAUUUCAGUAAUGCUGACACACAUUAAAGCAGAAAACAGUUGUCCCUGGUUUUUGAAACUGUUACUUCCUUAAUUGGGGAGGAAAGAGGGAUGUUUUUCAUGGUGGGGAAGGAGGGCCAGCUAACUCCUCCUCAGCUUUCAGAAACCUCUUUCCCUGUCCUCCUAGUUCCAAAACUUGGGAACAGAGUUGUUCGUACUUUUAUGUGUAUUGGCAGUGCUGGAAUUUAAUCUUCUGAAGGUAAGUAGUGGCCAGUAUUCUGUCUCCUUGUAAUUUUCUAGUACAUUUGUGUUCAGAUGCAGUCCUCUCAUCCAGUUCAGAUCCUGGCAGCAUACGCUAGUUAAUAAAGAUACUGUUAUUAGCAUGAUUGCCUGCUUACAGUAAAUAAUCAACUUCUUGCUAGGUGCUGCUUUGUAAAAUUACUCAUAAGCAUAUUAUUCCAAAUCAAACAGCUAGCUGCAAUCAUCAGAUUGUUUCAAAAGACUUUAUACAAUGUGCAUUAAACUGGCAACAUCUAAGGAACUAUAUAGGUUUUACCUACCUUUCUUUAAAUAGAAUAUAUUGUGUGUUACAAGAGUUAAUCUUUAACCUUCAUAUCCCUCCCCUCUAUUGUUUUUUGGCAAGUUUUGUAAUAACACUCAAAUCCAUCUCAGACUGAAGAGCUGAAUGAACUUUCUGCUACUGUCAAGAUUUGCAGGAUAAAAAUUGGCUGACCAGUUUUGAAGUGUUCUGUUAAAACAUUUCUCAUACAUUGGGUGUUGUCAAAUAUCUUUGUAGCUCAUAUCUCUCUUCCCCGCCUCCCCCCACUCUUCAGUAAAGCAAAAUAUAGUUCUUAAUAUUUCCUUUCGUUUCCACAGAACUGGUAUCAGCCAAUUUUAGUAUUUUGUUUUUGAAAGUAGAGUAGAAUAAAAACCUGACUAUACCGGAAAUAACUUGCAGAAAAUAAUAAACUGAAUGGACUUCUUUGCCAACCUCUUGUAUUCUUUCUUAAAUUUAUUUAAAAAUUCUUCAAAUUGGACAUGAUGAAUGAGGGUGGAUAUGUUUUAGUUGCCUGUUUGUCAGAGCAGAUGUGUUUUUUACAUAAAAAGGAAAUGUAGCUACAUGGUUAGGAAGCAAAGAAGAAAAUUUCAUACUAAAAUUAAUAUAGAGGGUGAUAUGCUGUUUACUGCAUAGGUGUCAUGUGGAGUGCCAUUUUGUUCAAACUGUAGUAUGCUAAAUGGGAUACAUUAUUGUUUAAAAUGGUGGGUAGUCAGUACUUUGAUCUUUUGCAGAUCACCUCACCGACCGGGCCAAGUUUGUUCACAGUAUAUAUUAAAUUUACCUUUACAUUUAUUAUGCAGACAAAAUCAGUUGACAGAUUCUUACACCAGGUAGUAGCAUUUAUUAACAUUACACUUUCAAAUUAGACAGUGAUACCAGCAAAUUGCUUUGUACCGAUGCUCCCUACUCCACAGUGUGUGGUUGUAUGAAAAGCACAGUGUACUUUAAAUUGUCCCACAGUUGCUCCUUACCUGCCGUGCACUCCUUUAUUGGUUUGUGUUAGUGCGUUCUUUCUGCCUAUUAAUUUCAUGAAUUUACUUGUGUUCUGGUACAAAUAAUUAAUAAUUGUAUUCUGCAUGUAAACUCAAUAGUAGUCCUAUCCUUCUGAAAACUGUAACAUUUGAAACAAACGUUGACGGGAAGUAAUACACAGUCCACAUUUCAUAAUCAUUCAAUCAAAUUUCAUCCUUGUGCUUUUCCUGUUCCCUCCCCUGCUGCUCUUUGUUGUGUAUCACUUAAAAUCAAUCUCUCUCUCUCUCUCUCUCUCUCUCUCUCUCUCUCUUUCUUUCUUUCUUUUUUUCUUUCUCGGAUACCCCCUUCCUUCCCUUGGAACAGUGUGGGUUGGACUGCAGCAAGCAGUAUCAUUAAUUUACUUGCACCAUUAUGACCAAGGAUUCCGGAGAUCCAAAGAUAAGCGGCAUGUGCCAUCUGUUUUCUGCAUCAGCAGCUCCUCCCCAAAUGGCCAACCGAAUAUUCACCCAGGAUCCAUUUCAAGUACUGGACGUCAACGAGUAUGUGCAGGAACUGCUACAUCUACCCAGGCUGCAC